rnacentral:lncRNA from 1 species
AAUGAUUGAUAGAUCAUUCAUAGAUUUGAAAUACCUUAGGAUAUCAGGACAUGAGUGGAAAAGAAUACUGAACUGAACCGUGAGGCAAAUCUAUUGAAUGCAGGAACAUUAGUAGAAAUUGGAAGUUCCAUAACUAAAGAAGGUAUGGUUACAGCUGCAUGGCAUAAACCAAAGUUUUCAUAGGCAAUAAACCAAGGUUUUUAUAGAUGGGUGAGGCUCUAAAAGACUAUGAAAUGAAGAGGACACUGAUCCCAUUACUUGAUGCAAAGCUACAUUUAAUGUGGGAGAAAUAGCAGCUUCAAUCUGAUGGCUGGGCAAGAGAAGUGUUAUCCAGAGAUAAACUUGUUGAAAUUAAGGUUACAGAAAGUUACAGUCAGUAAAAGGAGGUUAAAUUGUAACACAGAUUGUUAAAAUAUAAUGGAAGUUUAAAAGAUAUAAAGGAGAAGUAAGAGAUGAGAUCAGUGGUAGAUUUAGUCAGGGGAAAAGAAACAAUAGUUAGAAGGAAAUCAGACAGCUGAAUGAAUUUACAUUCUGGUACCUGAUCAAGGAUGUGUGGAUUAAGCUGCUUGACAGUUACAAGAAAUCCUGGUUUUCCUUUUGUGGAUGGCAAUGAACAGGGCUUAUAGAGACAAAUUAACAAGAAGUGGCUGGAUCUCACACACAUUUGGAAAGGUAAGUUUAAAUUUUCUUAAAACUAGUUUUAAAACAUUCUAUAAAAUAAAUUAAUGAAGCAAAAUUUAUUUUAAACUAUUUUUCAGACUACUUAGAGCUGGAUAUAACUUCAAAGGUCAUCAAGCUCAUUUUGUUGUUAAGGAAACAAAUCCUGAGAAAAGGAAGUUUAUACCCAAUGUAACAGUGAUAGCAUCAAGGCCAAAACUCAGGUUCCCUAACUCACAAUCCAGUAAUUUUUGCAAGACACAUCACUAAAUCUUUCUGUUUUGGUGGUUAUUUGUCUCGUGGUUAUUUGGUGGAAUCAGUAUGUGUAUGUCUGUUAGAGUUAGGAAUCUGUUGGUCCAUAGAAGUUUGACAGCCAUAUGACAGUGUAUGAGCAGAAAAAAUUUCCCCUCUCCCAUUCUAGGUUUUUUGGCUGGUCUAAUAAUCAAAUUGACAUAAGGCAGAUUAAGA